rnacentral:rRNA from 1 species
CCUACGGGAGGCAGCAGUGAGGAAUAUUGGUCAAUGGUCGGGAGACUGAACCAGCCAAGCCGCGUGAGGGAGGAAGGUACAGAGUAUCGUAAACCUCUUUUGUCAGGGAACAAAGGCGGGGACGUGUCCCCGGAUGAGUGUACCUGAAGAAAAAGCAUCGGCUAACUCCGUGCCAGCAGCCGCGGUAAUACGGAGGAUGCGAGCGUUAUCCGGAUUUAUUGGGUUUAACGGGUGCGCAGGCGGUCUGUUAAGUCAGCGGGCAAAGCCCGGGGCUCAACCCCGGCCCGCCGUUGAAACUGGCAGUCUCGAGUUGGAGAGAAGUAUGCGGAAUGCGCGGUGUAGCGGUGAAAUGCAUAGAUAUCGCGCAGAACUCCGAUUGCGAAGGCAGCAUGCCGGCUCCACACUGACGCUGAGGCACGAAAGCGUGGGUAUCGAACAGGAUUAGAUACCCGGGUAGUC